rnacentral:rRNA from 1 species
UACGUAGGGUGCAAGCGUUAAUCGGAAUUACUGGGCGUAAAGCGUGCGCAGGCGGUUUGUAAGUCUGUCGUGAAAGCCCCGGGCUCAACCUGGGAAUUGCGAUGGAGACUGCAAGGCUUGAAUCUGGCAGAGGGGGUAGAAUUCCACGUGUAGCAGUGAAAUGCGCGAUAUCAGGAAGAACACCGUGGCGAAAGCGGCUCCUCGUCGGAA